rnacentral:rRNA from 1 species
GUUAAAAAGCUCGUAGUUGGAUUUCGGAAUGGGUCAGUUGGUCCGCCUCACGGUGUGUUACUGACUGGUCUGUUCUUCUUCGCAAAGACUGUGUAUUCUCUUCAUUGAGUGUGCUCAGGAUUUACGACGUUUACUUUGAAAAAAUUAGAGUGUUCAAAGCAGGCCUACCGCUUGAAUACAUGAGCAAGGAAUAAUGGAAUAGGACUUUGGUCUUAUUUUGUUGGUUUCUAAGACCGAAGUAAUGAUUAAGAGGGACAGUUGGGGGCAUUAGUAUUUCGUUGUCAGAGGUGAAAUUCUUGGAUUUACGAAAGACUAACAACUGCGAAAGCAUUUGCCAAGAAUGUUUUCAUUAAUCAAGAACGAAAGUUAG